AAGAUGGCGGCUGGAGACUAGCGCUGGAGAGGGGGAGCCUUCCAUAUCCGGCCACUUCUCUCCACAGCCGCCAUUUUGGCAGAAGCCUAAGCCUUGCUCAUCCCUUACUUAGGCUACAUUUUCAAAAGUCAGAAAAAACUUUUUCCUGAAGAAGGGGUUUCUGAGACAAGACCCCUAUUUGUGACCAAUUGUAAGAUCAUCUGAAGAUCGAGUCCGAUUGCCUGGCCAGGCCGGGCUGGGUGGUAUGUGCCCCCGUCACGCCGGAGGUUCCUGCUUUAGCGACGCCAAAGAUUGGGUGUGAGGGCAGCCCGCGGUGACAGAGACACGGAUCGGACCGAGAGAAAAAGGCUGUGGGCUUCACUGAGCAGAGUGACGAAGUAUUCAGGCCCUCAGGAGCGGUAACUAAAAUGGAGAAGCUGCGCUGAAAGGUGCCGUGGGCAAGUCAAAAUUAAAAUCAAUUCACAGGACCUCCACAGUGUGCCUUUUGCUGGGUAGGAAAAUGCCAGCCAGCUUGGAAAACAAGAAGACACAUUUAUGUCUACCAUGAGCAUUGGCAUCAGCCAAUUAUCCCACACGUUUUCGGCUAGUCAGUGCUGAAGAGAGCAAGAAUUUCAACCCUUCUUGCUACAUUCAAGACAUAGAAAUCCAGCCAGAAGACAACUCGAGAUAUUUUGUGGAUCUAUGCCUUUCCUUCAGAAAAGCAAAUAUCUACCAUAAAAAAACACUGGUCCAAUAUUCACUUCUAUAAGAAAUGCAGGGGCAAAUAAAUUAUGGAUUUUAUUAUCGCUAAUAGAGUCACUUAACCAUUACUCCUUACUACAUUCUGCUUUUCUAACAAAAUUUCGACUGAAUAUUCUCCCUCAGAGCCUCCAAAAGGAACCAACUGAUGACAACUGAUUUUGGACUUCUGGCCUCCUGAACUAUAACAAAAUAAACAUCUGUUGU
rnacentral:lncRNA from 1 species